AAUGCAUUCAGGUGUAUUGGUUCUGGUGCCUAUAGUGUCCCUUUAAAUUUGAAGUAAAUUUUGAAUUCUUUCUUUUGUGGGAUGCCACGUCUUCCUGCUUCUGCAUCUUAGUAGAAGUCGGAAACAAAUCCACUUCCCAUUCUUUGGCAGAGGGUAUCAACGGACAACUCUCAGACUAUGACUAUGAAUGCAAUUCUCUUCAUAUGAACAUGC